GUGAGACAAUCUGUCAAUUUUAAAGAAAAUAACUUCAAAAUUGUUUAACUUAAACAGAAAUUUUGUUUAUACUAGAAAGCACUGGAUAAAUAUAACAAUUUAAUGUUUUAUUUUUGUCUCUUUUUUUUUUCCAUGUCAGCAGGUGAGACCCUGCCUCUAGUGACCACACAUCACUGGUACAUCCCUGACAAUGUACCAGCUCAGACCGGCCAUGAUUAUUGCCCGCUGCCAAAAAAACGAAAGGCAAGUGAUGACAUUUUUGCUUGUGUCUGUUUGUUUGUAUGUUUUUUUUUUUAUAAAAUGUCUCUUGAACCUCUGAAGGAUUUAAUCAAUAAAUGUAAAUGUACAACCUA